CCCGUAAUCCGUAGACGAAACUCGCUAUCUCAUCUAUUCAUUAAGAGGUGGACACGUGACUAGCCGGGACCAGAAACCGCUCCAGUUUCUGCGCUCCACUUGACAGUCGCCCUACGGAUAUCCUACAAUUACGAACACCACCUUUGUGUGGCCUGUCAUCUACUCUAAGCGAUGGCCGAUAAACGAGAAGCCUCACGGCGCAUGAGCUCACUUUGCUUGUGAUUUGUUCCUGUCAUCCAUCAUACCGAUCUGCCAUGACAUCAGAUGCAUCGCGGGUUGUCUUUACGACUCCCGGGCCACCUACUCCUCACCACCUCUCGGCAGACAGACAACAGGUUCAAAAACACGAAAGCUGCUUUGUUUUAAACAAGCAGAUUUAUUCGAUAUCACAGUCCACCAGG